rnacentral:snoRNA from 1 species
UGCACAGCAUGGUAACUGCACUCAGCAGUUUAUUCCUGCUGGUGUGUUCAAAGGUCAAUGCCAUCAAAAUUCAGUAUCUGGAAUUGUUGGUUUCCUUGGCUUUGUGCAUGUUAAACCUGGUAUUUCUACAGUUUUCUCA